rnacentral:rRNA from 1 species
UGGGGAAUAUUGCACAAUGGGCGCAAGCCUGAUGCAGCCAUGCCGCGUGUAUGAAGAAGGCCUUCGGGUUGUAAAGUACUUUCAGCGGGGAGGAAGGGAGUAAAGUUAAUACCUUUGCUCAUUGACGUUACCCGCAGAAGAAGCACCGGCUAACUCCGUGCCAGCAGCCGCGGUAAUACGGAGGGUGCAAGCGUUAAUCGGAAUUACUGGGCGUAAAGCGCACGCAGGCGGUUUGUUAAGUCAGAUGUGAAAUCCCCGGGCUCAACCUGGGAACUGCAUCUGAUACUGGCAAGCUUGAGUCUCGUAGAGGGGGGUAGAAUUACAGGUGUAGCGGUGAAAUGCGUAGAGAUCUGGAGGAAUACCGGUGGCGAAGGCGGCCCCCUGGACGAAGACUGACGCUCAGGUGCGAAAGCGUGGGGAGCAAACA